AAGCCGUUGAGGUAAAGAGCGUGCAGGGGAAAUCUGAGGAAACAGGGAAAAGCUGUCCAAUAAAGCUUCCAGCGGUGAAAAGCAGAGGACGUCCUGCCAAGCGCAUUCGCCAAAGAACAAUAAAGAGCAAGAGACAAGAAGAAGGUCUUGUGCCUUUCAAGGAUUUAUCUCCGAGGUCUCAAGAAAAAUUGCUCCUAACUGGCAUUGCUGGCCAGGAGGCUGCAGCACGUGUUUUGAAUGAAGGGAGAAUCCUCGAUGAGAUGAUAUUGAAGUGCGCCCUGAGGAGUUGCCGAGCGCCCUCCUAGACCACCGGGUAUCAUUGCCAAAGCUGAAGAAAUACUUCACCGCAGAGGCAUGGCUGUUGCUCUCAUCAUCCAUUGCUGUGAAAAAAAAGGAGACAUAUGGUGCUGCGCGCAAUGCAAGAAGAAGGAUGAUGGCGAAAUAAAAAUGGUUUUGUGUGACCAGUGCUUGAAAUGGUUUCACUGGCCAUGUGCUUCAGUGAAGAAGGAGGACCUAAAGCGUCACUGGUUCUGUAUGAAGUGUUGCACUCACACAUAGAUACUUCCUGGAGUAAUAAACACAUUUUUUUCCUUUUGCA
rnacentral:lncRNA from 1 species